UACGGAGGGGGCGAGCGUUAUUCGGAAUUAUUGGGCGUAAAGGGCGCGUAGGCGGCCCGGUAAGUCAAAGGUGAAAUCCCUCGGCUCAACUGAGGAACUGCCUUGAAACUGUCGGGCUUGAGGCCGGGAGGGGGUAGCGGAAUUCCCAGUGUAGCGGUGAAAUGCGCAGAUAUCAGGAAGAACACCAAUGGCGAAGGCAGCUCUCUGGGACGGUACUGGACGCUGAGACGCGAAAGCGUGGGGAGCAAACAGG
rnacentral:rRNA from 1 species